ncrna:Citrobacter youngae ATCC 29220 int-alpA RNA
GCUGUGCCUAGGCUGAUCCCCGAAAACCAGUACACCUCUACUGGCUGGCAUGGCCCCCAAAUUAAAGAGG